UGCUAUGGUAGGAAUUCGUAGGUAACAAAUCAAAGUUGUCAAAGAUGUUGCUUGGAGGCGAGAAGGAAAACGCCGAUCUCAGUCUUCCUUCCUCUAUUGCACCACCGGUUCCAUCCGCAUUUCCUCCUCCACCACCUACACCUCCCCCGAUUUGCCAUGGUACAAUGAGGGUCAGUGUCAAAGCUUGUCUUCAUCAGUACCAUGUUGGUUGUAGGGAGAGUUUGGUUCGUUUUGGAGCAUGUUGCAAGUGCGCUUUGAGAUUGGGGCCCAAGGCUAUCAACAUCCCUCAUAGGGGUGAGAAUCCAGAGUUCUCCAGUGAUUCAUCCUCGGGAGAGUCGGGCGGUUCUGGCGAGGAAGAUGCUUUGGACAUGAUGGAUCUAUAGGUUCAGAUGAAAGAUGGAUGAUGCAUGGUGAUUCUGGAUUAGGUUUACUUUCGGUUCUGUUUUCUUGGAAAACACAUGACUUUUUGUAAAAAGGAAAAAGGCAAGAAAAUAUUAAUAUGCAUACAUAUCAUAUGGUAGACAUGACUGUUAGUUAAAAGUUGAUGAAUCAUGCAAAGUCAUUGGCAUGUUAAAAAUUAAGUCUCAAACUAUGUUGAUGAUACUUGGAAUCAUAUUGCCAAGUGGAAGGGGGAAAAAUGCUGAGCAAAACCUAUUGUUGUUGUUGUUGUUGUUUCUUUUCUGCACUUGUGGUUUUUUUUUUUUUGUUAACUAUUUCUUUGCUGGAAUGCAGCCUUGUUUGGCUCAAUGACUGUGUGUUGCUUGGGAUCAAUGACAUGCAUUUAUAUGUUGAUAUAAUUAUAGCAAGACAUGCAUUUAUCGUACACUCAUCAUAGUUGAACAACUGCCCACCAAAUGCUAUAUAAAAGUGCCUUCUUAAAUG